CUUUUCUUUGAAUUUAGAUUUUCUGCUCUUUUCCCGCCUCUGCUGUAAAUUCUACUGUCAAGGUGAUUUGGGCAGUUUCUGCGAGUGAUUUGGGCAAAUCACUCGCCCAAUCUGCCCCAAUCGUUCUCUGGGAUUCAGUCCAGUUUCUGUCUCUGUCUCUGCGAGUGAUUUGACCAGUUUCUACAAGUGAUUUGGGCAAAUCAUUGACCCAAUCACUUCUGCCUGUUGCCUCCAGGUUUCUGCUUUAGCUUGAUUUGGGCAGUGAUUUGGGCAAAUCACUGACCCAAUCACUUUUCUGUUAUUUUCUGC
rnacentral:lncRNA from 1 species